rnacentral:sRNA from 1 species
UCAGGGUACCUGGGAGCCGGCAGGACAGCGCGCCGGCAUUGGCCGCACAGGCACCAUCAUUGUCAUCGACAUGCUCAUGGAGAACAUCUCCACCAAGGGCCUGGACUGUGACAUUGACAUCCAGAAGACCAUCCAGAUGGUGCGGGCGCAGCGCUCGGGCAUGGUGCAGACGGAGGCGCAGUACAAGUUCAUCUACGUGGCCAUCGCCCAGUUCAUUGAAACCACCAAGAAGAAGCUGGAGGUCCUGCAGUCACAGAAGGGCCAGGAGUCGGAGUACGGGAACAUCACCUACCCCCCAGCCAUGAAGAAUGCCCAUGCCAAGGCCUCCCGCACCUCGUCCAAACACAAGGAGGAUGUGUAUGAGAACCUGCACACUAAGAACAAGAGGGAGGAGAAAGUGAAGAAGCAGCGGUCAGCAGACAAGGAGAAGAGCAAGGGUUCCCUCAAGAGGAAGUGAGCGGUGCCGUCCUCAGGUGGCCAUGCCUCAGCCCUGACCCUGUGGAAGCGUUCCGCGAUGGACAGACUCACAACCUGAACCUAGGAGCGCCCCAUUCUUUUGUAAUUUAAAUGGCUGCAUCCCCCCCACCUCUCCCUGACCCUGUAUAUAGCCCAGCCAGGCCCCAGGCAGGGCCAACCCUUCUCCUCUUGUAAAUAAAGCCCUGGGAUCACUGUG